rnacentral:rRNA from 1 species
CCCUUAGAUGUUCUGGGCUGCACGCGUGCUACACUGAUUAUUUCAACAAGUGUUUUAACUGGAGAGUUCGCGUAAUCCUGAAAUGUUAUCGUGAUGGGAGUAGAGUAUUGUAUUUGUUAAUCUUUAACGAGGAAUUCCUAGUAAGUGUAGGUUUAUAAGUUGUUCUGAUUACGUCCCUGCCCUUUGUACACACCGCCCGUCGCUACUACCGAUUGAACGGUUUAGUGAGGGCCUCGGAUUGGUCUCGGCCCGCUCUUUACCGGGCGGCGCCGUUGGUCGAGAAGACGCUCGAACUUGAUCGUUUAGAGGAAGUAAAAGUCGUAACA